rnacentral:rRNA from 1 species
GACGAACGCUGGCGGCGUGCUUAACACAUGCAAGUCGAACGGAAAGGCCCUGCUUGCCGGGUGCUCGUGUGGCGAACGGGUGAGUAACACGUGGGUGAUCUGCCCCUUACUUUGGGAUAAGCCUGGGAAACUGGGUCUAAUACUGGAUAGGACCAUGCUGUAGGUGGUGUGGUGGAAAGAUUAGUUUCGGUAAGGGAUGAGCUCGCGGCCUAUCAGCUUGUUGGUGGGGUAAUGGCCUACCAAGGCGUCGACGGGUAGCCGGCCUGAGAGGGUGGACGGCCACAUUGGGACUGAGAUACGGCCCAGACUCCUACGGGAGGCAGCAGUGGGGAAUAUUGCACAAUGGGCGCAAGCCUGAUGCAGCGACGCCGCGUGGGGGAUGACGGCCUUCGGGUUGUAAACUCCUUUCAGCCAUGACGAAGCCCUUGUGGUGACGGUAGUGGUAGAAGAAGCACCGGCUAACUACGUG